rnacentral:sRNA from 1 species
GAAGACGCGCAAAAUUGUUAUCAUCCUUAUUUUUCUAAGAGACUUUAUUUGGUUUCGGCCACCAAAUGGUGGCCAUUUU